rnacentral:rRNA from 1 species
CAAAUGACUCUUGGCAACAAAUAUCUCGGUUCUCGCAUUGAUGAAAAACGUAGCGAAAUGCGAUACUUGGUGUGAAUUGCAGAAUCUCGUGAACCAUUGAGUCUUUGAACACAAGUUGUGCUCGAAACCGUCAAGCCGAGGGCACGUCUACCUAGGGGUCACCCAUC